CCUACGUGAGGCAGCAGUGGGGAAUAUUGGGCAAUGGGCGCAAGCCUGACCCAGCAACGCCGCGUGAAGGAAGAAGGCUUUCGGGUUGUAAACUUCUUUUCUCAGGGACGAAGCAAGUGACGGUACCUGAGGAAUAAGCCACGGCUAACUACGUGCCAGCAGCCGCGGUAAUAGGUAGGUGGCAAGCGUUAUCCGGAUUUACUGGGGGUAAAGGGCGUGUAGUCGGGCCUGCAAGUCAGAUGUGAAAACCACGGGCUCAACCUGUGGCCUGCAUUUGAAACUGUAGUUCUUGAGUACUGGAGAGGCAGACGGAAUUCCUGGUGUAGCGGUGAAAUGCGUAGAUAUUAGGAGGAACACCAGUGGCGAAGGCGGUCUGCUGGACAGCAACUGACGCUGAGGCGCGAAAGCGUGGGGAGCAAACAGGAUUAGAUACCCCUGUAGUC
rnacentral:rRNA from 1 species